rnacentral:rRNA from 1 species
UACGAAGGGGGCUAGCGUUGCUCGGAAUGACUGGGCGUAAAGGGCGCGUAGGCGGAUGGCACAGUCAGAUGUGAAAUUCCCGGGCUUAACCUGGGGGCUGCAUUUGAUACGUGUGAUCUAGAGUGAGGAAGAGGGUCGUGGAAUUCCCAGUGUAGAGGUGAAAAUUCGUAGAUAUUGGGAAGAACACCGGUGGCGAAGGCGGCGACCUGGUCCUUGACUGACGCUGAGGCGCGAAAGCGUGGGGGAGCAAACAGG